rnacentral:rRNA from 1 species
GACGAACCGUGCAAACGUUGUCCGGAAUUAUUGGGCGUAAAGCGCGCGCAGGCGGUCCUUUAAGUCUGAUGUGAAAGCCCACGGCUCAACCGUGGAGGGUCAUUGGAAACUGGGGGACUUGAGUACAGAAGAGGAAAGCGGAAUUCCACGUGUAGCGGUGAAAUGCGUAGAGAUGUGGAGGAACACCAGUGGCGAAGGCGGCUUUCUGGUCUGUAACUGACGCUGAGGCGCGAAAGCGUGGGGAGCGAACCGG